rnacentral:rRNA from 1 species
GUGCUUAACACAUGCAAGUCGAACUUAAAGGCCCUGCUUUUGUGGGGUGCUCGAGUGGCGAACGGGUGAGUAACACGUGAGUAACCUGCCCUUGACUUUGGGAUAACUUCAGGAAACUGGGGCUAAUACCGGAUAGGAGCUCCUGCUGCAUGGUGGGGGUUGGAAAGUUUCGGCGGUUGGGGAUGGACUCGCGGCUUAUCAGCUUGUUGGUGGGGUAGUGGCUUACCAAGGCUUUGACGGGUAGCCGGCCUGAGAGGGUGACCGGCCACAUUGGGACUGAGAUACGGCCCAGACUCCUACGGGAGGCAGCAGUGGGGAAUAUUGCACAAUGGGCGGAAGCCUGAUGCAGCAACGCCGCGUGCGGGAUGACGGCCUUCGGGUUGUAAACCGCUUUCGCCUGUGACGAAGCAUGAGUGACGGUAAUGGGUAAAGAAGCACCGGCUAACUACGUGCCAGCAGCCGCGGUGAUACGUAGGGUGCGAGCGUUGUCCGGAUUUAUUGGGCGUAAAGGGCUCGUAGGUGGUUGAUCGCGUCGGAAGUGUAAUCUUGGGGCUUAACCCUGAGCGUGCUUUCGAUACGGGUUGACUUGAGGAAGGUAGGGGAGAAUGGAAUUCCUGGUGGAGCGGUGGAAUGCGCAGAUAUCAGGAGGGACACCAGUGGCGAAGGCGGUUCUCUGGGCCUUUUCCUGACGCUGAGGAGCGGAAGCGUGGGGAGCGAACAGGCUUAGAUACCCUGGUAGUCCACGCUGUAAACGGUGGGUACUAGGUGUGGGGUCCAUUCCACGGGUUCCGUGCCGUAGCUAACGCUUUAAGUACCCCGCCUGGGGAGUACGGCCGCAAGGCUAAAACUCAAAGGAAUUGACGGGGCCCCGCACAAGCGGCGGAGCAUGCGGAUUAAUUCGAUGCAACGCGUAGAACCUUACCUGGGUUUGACAUGGAUCGGGAGUGCUCAGAGAUGGGUGUGCCUCUUUUGGGGUCGGUUCACAGGUGGUGCAUGGCUGUCGUCAGCUCGUGUCGUGAGAUGUUGGGUUAAGUCCCGCAACGAGCGCAACCCUUGUUCACUGUUGCCAGCACGUUAUGGUGGGGACUCAGUGGAGACCGCCGGGGUCAACUCGGAGGAAGGUGGGGAUGACGUCAAGUCAUCAUGCCCCUUAUGUCCAGGGCUUCACGCAUGCUACAAUGGCUGGUACAGAGAGUGGCGAGCCUGUGAGGGUGAGCGAAUCUCGGAAAGCCGGUCUCAGUUCGGAUUGGGGUCUGCAACUCGACCUCAUGAAGUCGGAGUCGCUAGUAAUCGCAGAUCAGCAACGCUGCGGUGAAUACGUUCCCGGGGCUUGUACACACCGCCCGUCAAGUCAUGAAAGUUGGUAACACCCGAAGCCGGUGGCCUAACCGUUGUGGGGGAGCCGUCGAAGGUGGGACUGGUGAUUAGG